CCAGUUUCCCAUAUAAACAAGUGUAAACGUUUCCCGCUUCUAAAACAACUAAAAUGAAGGUUUUUCUACGACUGCUUAUCGUCACACUUUUACUUCUUCUGUUAUUGGACAGAAAAUUAAAUCGCAUUUUGUACAUCAAGAAACGAUUGACCACUUAGUGUCCACUUUCUUAAAUAAACAAUAUUUAUUAUAAAUAUUAUUUUUGUGUACCAAAUUGUGAUCAUAUAAUCUUUGCUUGAGAAUAUUUAUUUUAUUUUUGAAAACUUUUUUAAUAAUAAAAAUAUUGAAAACCUGUUUUUCGGACCGGA